AGCUUACAGUCCAAACAUAAAAUAUCCACAAGAGAUAGAGGGAGAGAGUACAUCCAAUUCGCGGGCAAUUUCCUUUCUCGAUGUUGACGUGCCAGCCAGUCGGCUGCUCGGUUUGCAUCUCGAGAGCGGGAUCCGACGGUGAUAUAAUUGCACUGUGAUAAUUCUUGUUGGCAGCGUUUGAUUACUUCACGCAGGUUCCAAGGAGUCUCGGCCCGGCCUAGCACAAA
rnacentral:lncRNA from 1 species